rnacentral:rRNA from 1 species
UACGGGAGGCAGCAGUGGGGAAUAUUGGACAAUGGGCGGAAGCCUGAUCCAGCCAUGCCGCGUGUGUGAAGAAGGCCUUUUGGUUGUAAAGCACUUUAAGCGAGGAGGAGGCUCUCCUAGUUAAUACCUAGGAAGAGUGGACGUUACUCGCAGAAUAAGCACCGGCUAACUCUGUGCCAGCAGCCGCGGUAAUACAGAGGGUGCGAGCGUUAAUCGGAUUUACUGGGCGUAAAAGCGUGCGUAGGCGGCUGAUUAAGUCGGAUGUGAAAUCCCCUGAGCUUAACUUAGGAAUUGCAUUCGAUACUGGUCAGCUAGAGUAUGGGAGAGGAUGGUAGAAUUCCAGGUGUAGCGGUGAAAUGCGUAGAGAUCUGGAGGAAUACCGAUGGCGAAGGCAGCCAUCUGGGCCUAAUACUGACGCUGAGUCGAAAGCAUGGGGAAGCAAACAAGGAAUUAAGGAAUAACC